CGGGCUGCGGGGGCUGGCCGUACGGGCCCGGCUGCUGCGGAUAGCCGUACGCGCCGGCCUGCGCGGGCGGCUGCUGGGGCCGGCCGUAGCCGGGC
rnacentral:tRNA from 1 species